AAAGGUUGUCACUUAAAUAAAUGGAUCGUUGUGACUUUUUCUUUUCUUACGUAACCUAUCCGUCUUCCUUCCACGGAUCAACGAGAGCCAGGGUGGGGAAGGUAACCUCAUACUAGAGCUGUGUUAGAACAGUACAUUAGUAGCAAUAAUAAUAAUAAUAAUAAUAAUAAUAAUAAUAAUAAUAAUAAUAAUAAUAAUAGCAGUAGCAGCAGUAAUGAUGAUAAUGUUGAUAAUGAUAAAGAUAACGAAACUCAUUUCAUGAUAGCGAUAUGGGCAACGCAGAGAGCGAUGCGACGUUAAGUGAUAGCGAGGUUGCGAUGCUGCGAUAGGCGAUAUCAAUUCUGCGAUAGACGAUAAGCGAUAGUGAUGCUGCGAUAGGCAACAACAUGGUGCGAUAGGCGAUCCUGCGAUGCUGCUGUAGGUGAAAGGCCAUAGCGAUGCUGCUAUAGGCAAUAGCAAUGCUGAGAUGCUGCGAUAGGCGAUGCGGCGAUGCUCGAAGCUGCGAUGCUGAGAUAGCGAUGCGGCUCUAAACCACCAUAGUAAUGCGGUGAGAAGCGAUACCAAUGCGAUGGUCAGCGACAGCAGUGUUGCGAUGCUGCGAUCAGCGAGCGAUAGCGAUGCGAUGAUUAGCGUAAGCGAUGAGGCGAUAAGCGAUAGCGAUGCGACGAUAGCGAUGCGACGAUUAGCGAUGCGAAGGUAUGUGACAGCGAUGCGAUGAUGAGCGAUACGGCGAUAAGCGAUAGCGAUGCGGCGAUAGGCGAUAGCGAUGCGGCGAUAAGCGAUAGCGAUGCGGCGAUAGGCGAUAGGGAUGCGGCGAUAGGCGAUAGCGAUGCGGCGAUAAGCGAUAGCGAUGCGGCGAUAGGCGAUAGCGAUGCGGCGAUAGGCGAUAGCGAUGCGGCGAUAAGCGAUAGCGAUGCGGCGAUAGGCGAUAGCGAUGCGGCGAUAAGCGAUAGCGAUGCGGCGAUAGCGCAUAAGAAUCUUAUCCUAGGUUGGGAUGAGCGUUUUUUCCUCUAGUGGUCCAGUCCAGGGUGCGGGCCGCGACGGGGCAACCUUCCACACUCCCACACGGACUCGCCAUGAACAAAGACCCGCCACACACCACUCUCCAACCACUGUCACGAAGUGCGCCCUCCCAACCCCUUAGAGGACGCCUCCUGCUGCCAGUGUCUGGUGCAUGGCGCACAGCGUGCCCUCACUCAUGGCAAGCUGUUCAGCCCGGUGUCACCAUAAUCAAGGAACCCGUACACACCAUUCACCAGACAAUAGAAGGAGCCCUUAUCUCCCCUUAAGGACCCCCUCUUGUGGCCCUAUCUAGUGAAUGGUAGUCCGUGUUUCCCUGCUUAUGACAACAUCUUGCCUAGUGCAAGGUAUGAAAGUGGACGACUAUGAUCUGAAGUAGAAGCAGCACAGGUGGAGAAGGACCUGCUGCAAGGCCUCUGCCUCGGGCCCUAGGCGGGACCAGGCAGCCACCUUCCCCUCCCGUACGUCUCCCGAGUCCGCCACGGCCUGCGAUAAAUUUUGGCCGAAAUGUCAUCACCAACAUUUAAUUUUGAUCCGAAAAGAAAAU